rnacentral:Y_RNA from 1 species
GGCUGGUCUGAUGGUAGUGGGUUAUCAGAACUUAUUAACAUUAGUGUCACUAAAGUUGGUAUUCAACCCCCCACUGCUAAAUUUGACUGGCUUUAA